rnacentral:rRNA from 1 species
AUUGAACGCUGGCGGCAGGCUUAACACAUGCAAGUCGAGCGGGGUGAUGGUGCUUGCACUAUCACUUAGCGGCGGACGGGUGGGUAAUGCUUAGGAAUCUGCCUAUUAGUGGGGGACAACAUCUCGAAAGGGAUGCUAAUACCGCAUACGCCCUACGGGAGAAAGCAGGGGAUCACUUGUGACCUUGCGCUAAUAGAUGGGCCUAAGUCGGAUUAGCUAGUUGGUGGGGUAAAGGCCUACCAAGGCGACGAUCUGUAGCGGGUCUGAGAGGAUGAUCCGGCACACUGGGACUGAGACCCGGCGCAGACUCCGACGGGAGGCAGCAGUGGGGAAUAUUGGACAAUGGGGGGAACCCUGAUCCAGCCAUGCCGCGUGUGUGAAGAAGGCCUUAUGGUUGUAAAGCACUUUAAGCGCGGAGGAGGCUCUUUUGGUUAAUACCCAAGAUGAGUGGACGUUACUCGCAGAAUAAGCACCGGCUAACUCUGGGCCAGCCGCCGCAGUAA